CGCGUAGGUGGCUAGGUAAGCGUGCGGUGAAAGCCCGGGGCUCAACCCCGGGUCGGCCGUGCGGACUGCCUGGCUUGAGCACGGUAGAGGCCGAUAGAAUUCCGGGUGUAGCGGUGGAAUGCGUAGAGAUCCGGAAGAACACCGGUGGCGAAGGCGGUCGGCUGGGCCGUUGCUGACACUGAUGCGCGACAGCGUGGGGAGCAAACA
rnacentral:rRNA from 1 species